rnacentral:rRNA from 1 species
CAGUCGCCACGGUAAUACGAAGGGUGCAAGCGUUAAUCGGAAUUACUGGGCGUAGAGCGUGCGUAGGCGGUUUGUUAAGUCUGUUGUGAAAUCCCCGGGCUCAACCUGGGAAUGGCAAUGGAUACUGGCGAGCUAGAGUGUGUCAGAGGAUGGUGGAAUUCCCGGUGUAGCGGUGAAAUGCGUAGAGAUCGGGAGGAACAUCAGUGGCGAAGGCGGCCAUCUGGGACAACACUGACGCUGAAGCACGAAAGCGUGGGGAGCAAACAGGAUUAGAUACCCCCGUAGUCCCUGUCUCUUAUAC